rnacentral:rRNA from 1 species
AGAGUUUGAUCCUGGCUCAGAGUGAACGCUGGCGGCAGGCCUAACACAUGCAAGUCGAACGGCAGCACAGUGGUAGCAAUACCAUGGGUGGCGAGUGGCGGACGGGUGAGGAAUACAUCGGAAUCUACCUUUUCGUGGGGGAUAACGUAGGGAAACUUACGCUAAUACCGCAUACGACCUUAGGGUGAAAGCGGAGGACCUUCGGGCUUCGCGCGGAUAGAUGAGCCGAUGUCGGAUUAGCUAGUUGGCGGGGUAAAGGCCCACCAAGGCGACGAUCCGUAGCUGGUCUGAGAGGAUGAUCAGCCACACUGGAACUGAGACACGGUCCAGACUCCUACGGGAGGCAGCAGUGGGGAAUAUUGGACAAUGGGCGCAAGCCUGAUCCAGCCAUGCCACGUGGGUGAAGAAGGCCUUCGGGUUGUAAAGCCCUUUUGUUGGGAAAGAAAAGCAGUCGGUUAAUACCCGAUUGUUCUGACGGUACCCAAAGAAUAAGCACCGGCUAACUUCGUG